AUUGAACGCUGGCGGCAGGCCUAACACAUGCAAGUCGAGCGGUAGCACAGAGAGCUUGCUCUCGGGUGACGAGCGGCGGACGGGUGAGUAAUGUCUGGGAAACUGCCUGAUGGAGGGGGAUAACUACUGGAAACGGUAGCUAAUACCGCAUAACGUCGCAAGACCAAAGUGGGGGACCUUCGGGCCUCAUGCCAUCAGAUGUGCCCAGAUGGGAUUAGCUAGUAGGUGGGGUAACGGCUCACCUAGGCGACGAUCCCUAGCUGGUCUGAGAGGAUGACCAGCCACACUGGAACUGAGACACGGUCCAGACUCCUACGGGAGGCAGCAGUGGGGAAUAUUGCACAAUGGGCGCAAGCCUGAUGCAGCCAUGCCGCGUGUGUGAAGAAGGCCUUCGGGUUGUAAAGCACUUUCAGCGGGGAGGAAGGCGAUAAGGUUAAUAACCUUGGCGAUUGACGUUACCCGCAGAAGAAGCAUCGGCUAACUCCGUGCCAGCAGCCGCGGUAAUACGGAGGGUGCAAGCGUUAAUCGGAAUUACUGGGCGUAAAGCGCACGCAGGCGGUCUGUCAAGUCGGAUGUGAAAUCCCCGGGCUCAACCUGGGAACUGCAUUCGAAACUGGCAGGCUAGAGUCUUGUAGAGGGGGGUAGAAUUCCAGGUGUAGCGGUGAAAUGCGUAGAGAUCUGGAGGAAUACCGGUGGCGAAGGCGGCCCCCUGGACAAAGACUGACGCUCAGGUGCGAAAGCGUGGGGAGCAAACAGGAUUAGAUACCCUGGUAGUCCACGCCGUAAACGAUGUCGAUUUGGAGGUUGUGCCCUUGAGGCGUGGCUUCCGGAGCUAACGCGUUAAAUCGACCGCCUGGGGAGUACGGCCGCAAGGUUAAAACUCAAAUGAAUUGACGGGGGCCCGCACAAGCGGUGGAGCAUGUGGUUUAAUUCGAUGCAACGCGAAGAACCUUACCUGGUCUUGACAUCCACAGAACUUAGCAGAGAUGCUUUGGUGCCUUCGGGAACUGUGAGACAGGUGCUGCAUGGCUGUCGUCAGCUCGUGUUGUGAAAUGUUGGGUUAAGUCCCGCAACGAGCGCAACCCUUAUCCUUUGUUGCCAGCGGUCCGGCCGGGAACUCAAAGGAGACUGCCAGUGAUAAACUGGAGGAAGGUGGGGAUGACGUCAAGUCAUCAUGGCCCUUACGACCAGGGCUACACACGUGCUACAAUGGCAUAUACAAAGAGAAGCGACCUCGCGAGAGCAAGCGGACCUCAUAAAGUAUGUCGUAGUCCGGAUUGGAGUCUGCAACUCGACUCCAUGAAGUCGGAAUCGCUAGUAAUCGUAGAUCAGAAUGCUACGGUGAAUACGUUCCCGGGCCUUGUACACACCGCCCGUCACACCAUGGGAGUGGGUUGCAAAAGAAGUAGGUAGCUUAACCUUCGGGAGGGCGCUUACCACUUUGUGAUUCAUGACUGGGGUG
rnacentral:rRNA from 1 species